rnacentral:rRNA from 1 species
AGCGAACGUUAGCGGCAGGCCUAACACAUGCAAGUCGCACGAGAACAGGGCUUCGGCCCUCAGUAAAGUGGCGGACGGGUGCGUAACACGUGGAUAAUCUGCCCUUUGGCGGGGGAUAACUGUCCGAAAGGAUAGCUAAUACCGCGUAAGUCGGCGAGGUCUUCGGAUCUUGCCGGGAAAGCUGGCCUCUUCAUGAAAGCUAGCACCGAAGGAUGAGUCCGCGUCCCAUCAGCUUGUUGGCGGGGUAAUGGCCCACCAAGGCAAAGACGGGUAGCUGGUCUGAGAGGAUGAUCAGCCACACUGGAACUGAGACACGGUCCAGACUCCUACGGGAGGCAGCAGUGGGGAAUAUUGGGCAAUGGGCGCAAGCCUGACCCAGCCAUGCCGCGUGAGUGAUGAAGGCCUUCGGGUCGUAAAGCUCUGUGGGGAGGGAAGAAUCGGCACGUGGCUAACAUCCACGGGUCCUGACGGUACCUCCUUAGCAAGCACCGGCUAACUCUGUGCCAGCCGCCGCAGUAA